UGUAAAAAAUUAAUGGUUUCUCUCUCUUACUUUACUCUUUUCUCUCCAAGCCACACAAGCCCUCUCAAAUUCUUUCCUUCUCCUCAAUCUCAUCUCACUUUCUUCCCUCUCUUCUCCAAAGAGCCACCGCCGCCACCACCACCACUAGAAGAAAUCUCUCGUGUCCAACCCAUGCCUAGUCGUCAUAUAACCCACCACCGUCGUCCCUCGUGCCCAGCCCGUACCUUGUCAUCGUCGAACAGUCCGUCGACCUCCGUUGUGCUUGCCACCACCGUCAAAACAUAAAUGCCCAAAAAUCCAGCACUUUUAGGGUUAAAUGAGAGACGUGGAAUUCGUGUGAAGUUAAAGGCUUUGAAGGCCAAAUAGGGAUGGGGAUUUCUUCCAUUCAAUCAAGUUUUUGAUACAAUGUUACACGAGUUUUUCCAUAAUCUUCAUGGUCCUCACAAUGCCAAUCUCUACGAGCUUUAAGAUGAGCUUUCAAAGAGCUUUCCAGGAAAUUCUUCCUUCAGGCCUCACUUCAGUUUCAAAACUACCUCCUAUCUUCGAUGGAAUAACAAGUGCUGGAAAUGUAGAUUCAAUUGUUGGCUAAUCUUAAUCUAAAAGAAACUCCUCAACUUGUGGAACUGGUGGAUGAC